rnacentral:rRNA from 1 species
AUUGAACGCUGGCGGCAGGCCUAACACAUGCAAGUCGAGCGGAUGAAGGGAGCUUGCUCCUGGAUUCAGCGGCGGACGGGUGAGUAAUGCCUAGGAAUCUGCCUGGUAGUGGGGGAUAACGUCUGGAAACGGGCGCUAAUACCGCAUACGUCCUGAGGGAGAAAGUGGGGGAUCUUCGGACCUCACGCUAUCAGAUGAGCCUAGGUCGGAUUAGCUAGUUGGUGGGGUAAAGGCCUACCAAGGCGACGAUCCGUAACUGGUCUGAGAGGAUGAUCAGUCACACUGGAACUGAGACACGGUCCAGACUCCUACGGGAGGCAGCAGUGGGGAAUAUUGGACAAUGGGCGAAAGCCUGAUCCAGCCAUGCCGCGUGUGUGAAGAAGGUCUUCGGAUUGUAAAGCACUUUAAGUUGGGAGGAGGGGCAGUAAGUUAAUACCUUGCUGUUUUGACGUUACCAACAGAAUAAGCACCGGCUAACUUCGUG